CUGGCGGCGUGCUUAACACAUGGCAAGUUGAACGGUCCGACAUGGAAGCUUGCUGAAGUGUCGGGUAGUAGCGGACGGGUGAGUAAUGCAUGAGAAGCUGCCAUUGGAGGGGGACAACAGUUGGAAACGGCUGCUAAUACCCCAUAUGCCGGAAGGUGAAACGGAGUGAUCCGCCCGAUGAGGUGCUCAUGUCCUAUCAGCUUGUUGGUGAGGUAACGGCUCACCAAGGCGACGACGGGUAGCCGGCCUGAGAGGGUGACCGGCCACACUGGAACUGAGAUACGGUCCAGACUCCUACGGGAGGCAGCAGUGGGGAAUAUUGGGCAAUGGGGGGCCAACCCUGACCCAGCGACGCCGCGUGAGGGAAGACGGCCUUCGGGUUGUAAACCUCUUUUGUACGGGAAGAAGGAUGUGACGGUACCGUGCGAAUAAGUCCCGGCUAACUACGUGCCAGCAGCUGC
rnacentral:rRNA from 1 species